rnacentral:rRNA from 2 species
UUCUGACCGUAAACGAUGCCAACUAGCGAUCCGCCGGCGGCUCCAAGGCCCUGGUGGGGAGCUUCCCGGAAACGAAAGUCUUCCGGUUCCGGGGGAAGUAUGGUUGCAAAGCUGAAACUUAAAGGAAUUGACGGAAGGGCACCACCAGGAGUGGAGCCUGCGGCUUAAUUUGACUCAACACGGGAAAACUCACCCGGCCCGGACACCGUAAGGAUUGACAGAUUGAUAGCUUUUUCAUGAUUCGGUGGUUGGUGGUGCAUGGCCGUUCUUAGUUCGUGGAUCGAUUUGUCUGGUUUAUUCCGAUAACGAGCGAGACUCCAGCCUACUAAAUAGUGCGGGCAUUGCCAUUGUGCCAUGCACUUCUUAGAGGGAUUGGCUGCGUCUAGCGGCACGAAACGGAGCAAUAACAGGUCUGUGAUGCCCUUAGAUGUCCGGGGCUGCACGCGCGCUACACUGGCAAAGGCAGCGUGCUUGUCCGUCUCCGAAAGGAGCCGGUAAACCCUUGAAAAUUUGCCGUGAUUGGGAUCGGAAAUUGCAAUUAUUUUCCGUGAACGAGGAAUUCCUAGUAAGUGCGAGUCAUCAGCUCGCGUUG